UGGGGGAUAUUGCACAAUGGAGGAAACUCUGAUGCAGCGACGCCGCGUGAGUGAAGAAGUAUUUCGGUAUGUAAAGCUCUAUCAGCAGGGAAGAUAAUGACAGUACCUGACUAAGAAGCCCCGGCUAACUACGUGCCAGCAGCCGCGGUAAUACGUAGGGGGCAAGCGUUAUCCGGAUUUACUGGGUGUAAAGGGAGCGUAGACGGAACGGCAAGUUUGAAGUGAAAUACCCGGGCUUAACCCGGGAACUGCUUUGAAAACUGUCGAUCUAGAGUGUCGGAGAGGUAAGUGGAAUUCCUGGUGUAGUAGUGAAAUGCGUAGAUAUUAGGAGGAACACCAGUGGCGAAGGCGGCUUACUGGACGAUAACUGACGCUGAGGCUCGAAAGCGUGGGGAGCAAACAGGAUUAGAUACCCUGGUAGU
rnacentral:rRNA from 1 species